UACGUAGGGGGCAAGCGUUGUCCGGAAUCAUUGGGCGUAAAGAGCGCGUAGGCGGCCCUGUAAGUCCGCUGUGAAAGUCAAGGGCUCAACCCUUGGAUGCCGGUGGAUACUGCAGGGCUAGAGUCCGGAAGAGGCGAGUGGAAUUCCUGGUGUAGAGGUGAAAUUCGUAGAUAUUGGGAAGAACACCGGUGGCGAAGGCGGCUCACUGGCUCGUAACUGACGCUCAUGCACGACAGCGUGGGGAUCAAACAGG
rnacentral:rRNA from 1 species